UACGGAGGGUGCAAGCGUUAUCCGGAAUCAUUGGGUUUAAAGGGUCCGUAGGCGGGCUGUUAAGUCAGGGGUGAAAGUUUGCCGCUUAACGGUAAAAUUGCCUUUGAUACUGGCGGUCUUGAAUGUGUGUGAAGUGAUUAGAAUAUGUAGUGUAGCGGUGAAAUGCAUAGAUAUUACAUAGAAUACCGAUUGCGAAGGCAGGUCACUAACACAUUAUUGACGCUGAUGGACGAAAGCGUGGGUAGCGAACAGG
rnacentral:misc_RNA from 1 species